rnacentral:rRNA from 1 species
AUGGCUUCCCCGCGAUCCUCCUACGGCUCAUCCGAGGAAGACGCCUCCUCCGACGGUUGUGACCACCAAGUUGUGGAGAAGCCGCCUGUACAGCAUGACUCCUCCGACGGAGAAGGAUCGGAGGAGGAGGAGGAGACGGAGCACGAUGAAGAAUCGUCGGAGGAGGCGGGGGACAAUGUGUUGCCCGACGACAAUAGCCUCCACCAGCCGCCACUGCAAGGCGACACGAUCCCAGAUUCCGAAUCUGAGUCCGACAAGUCGCCGCCCAGGUCCCAACCCAAGAAGAAGGCCCUGGAUGCCCAACCUGUCGAGCCCAAAAGGAUGAGGACGGCCGAGUCGCCGCAGCCGAGGAUGCAAUCUGAGGUUGCUGAAGUUGCUCUGAUUAAGAGCGAUGUGGAGAAGGUAUUCCAAGACAAGAUCGAUUCUUAUGGGCACCUUGGGCAAGAGGUGUUGGCCCUAGAGGAGAAAUAUCCUGGGUUCUUCAAGUCUCCCUUCAUGAAGCUUCCUGAAGAGAAGGCCAGGACACUCAAUGCCAAACUUCAGAAGCAACACCUUGCAAAACUAAAGGCAUCGAUGCAGCUGGGUAUUAUCAGAAAGGAGGUGGCAAAUUCCCUCAUCAAUUUGCUCGACUGA